GUCCUCUCUCUGGGAGCAGGUUGAAAUGACAGCAGUGAUGUCCUCUCUCUGGGAGCAGGUUGAAAUGACAGCAGUGAUGUCCUCUCUCUGUCUACUGGGAGCAGGUUGAAAUGACAGCAGUGAUGUCCUCUCUCUGUCUAUUGGGAGCAGGUUGAAAUGACAGCAGUGAUGUCCUCUCUCUGGGAGCAGGUUGAAAUGACAGCAGUGAUGUCCUCUCUGUGUCUACUGGGAGCAGGUUGAAAUGA